GUAUAUGCACAUGUUUCGUACGCAAAUAGAGAGGAUUUUUUACCAUUCUUGAUAAGUAUCUUGAGGUACCAGAAAUUUAGUGUAAAAAGAUAAUAAAUUUUUACGCUGAAAAAUAUGGUAACGUUUAAGUACUUUUUAAGGAUGGUAGAUUAUCUCCAAAUAGAAGAUUUGAUGUACAUAUGAUCAAGGUACAUAUAUAUGUGGAUGGAUGGAGAUGGAUGCAGUUCUUUCUUCUGCUUGUGUAUUGACUUGAUUUGUAUCUUCUAGCUUAUCAUGACGAGAAGAUUUACACGUACUAUAUAUAAUAUCACACACUUGUAUAUACGAGUGAAUAUGAAUAUAUAAAUGAAUUUCUCCCCAAG
rnacentral:lncRNA from 1 species